UUCUUGACACGAAGGAUGUAGCUUGUCCUAUCGCAGUACCUACUCUGAAACCUAUUCCUAUUGAUAAAAUGAGUCUUCAAAUAUACUUAAUAAGCCAGUAACAAUAUGAGUUACACAACUCCAGCUUAUAUACAACACAGUGAAGUGUUUUUGCUGCCAUGAGAAGAAACUGAAAGUGCUGGUACUGAUUUUGCUUCCUUGUUCAUAACACGGUUAUGGAGGUCAGGACAGGAAAUCCCUCGUUGGCAAUGAAUGGAUUAAAAGAGUCAGGUUAAAAAAGUAAAGAAAAAAUCAGCGAACUUUAUGCAAAAAACUGGAAUUUUGAAAAAUUCUGAAUUCUGAAAUCUUGAAAUCUAACUAAUCCAAGGGGAAAAAACAAAAAAAAAACAUCAGCAGCGCCGAAUUGAGUCUCAGUCCGGUUCCGCGUUAAGUACUCCUGAGUUUGAUUCUGAGCAGUGGAUAGAGAAAUAAUUUUUUUGUAGGAAUUGCAACUUUAAUUAAUGUGAUGCACUGAGAAAAACGAUUCAUACUUUCAAAAAAUGUUCUUAUGCUCAUAUUAUUCGCAGUGAAAUAAAUGCCAAAUAUUUUUCAUUUUAAUUUCUACGCAUGCCUGUGGAAUUUUAUCCCACGGAGUGUUCAGACACCUUUAGAGUACUUUCUUCAACUGAAAGCUUCACUAAAAUUUCUAUCUGCCAUGCUUGCCAAAUUUGGUGUAUACGAAUCAAGAUAUUCAUACCUCAUUCGAUGUACACCUUUAUUUAAUCAACUCUGAACUGUGUUUUCUGAUUAAUCAGAGUUUCGAACCGCAGCAACUAUUGUUGUACACACGCCAGAAAGUGAACCCGGAUCACUCCACAAAGAAAAAUGAUGAUGAAGAUGAAGAAGAAGAGGAAGUGGAAGAAGAGAUUGCAUCACUUGCCAAAACCAAUAAUGAGGAUUCUGACGAAAGUAGCGAUGAAAAGGAGGAAGAACCCAAGAAAUCAGCGGGGCAAGUUCUAAGUCCUGCGAAGAAAAACAAUAAGGCGACAAAAGAGUCUAGUUCUGAUGAAAGCAGCGAUGAUGAAAGUCAAAGCACAAAGCAGGUAUCAACGCAGCUGAUAAAAAAAUUGUCCGACUCGGGUACAUCAGAUUCAGAAUCAAGUUCAGAUUCUGACGAUAGUUAA
rnacentral:lncRNA from 1 species